ensembl:ncRNA B0507.14 ncRNA
CUGAUGUUGUCGGUGGUGACAUCUUCUCGGAACCCCCUGUGGCCGAGAGUGAAUAAAUUAGAGAAGAAGAAGACGAAGAUGGCUUGUUGGAAGACGGGACGAAAACGAAAAAAAAAGAAGCGGAGGAGAGGAGGGCUUUUCGAAUUCUGGAGCUCUUUUUCGCCUUCUCAACUACACACUCGUCAUUUAGUGG